GCAAUAUUCGUUAAUGCUGAGAGGAGAAGGCUAAUUAAUUUGAUUCCGGACAGCGUGAGGAAAGCAUGGAAAGAUUGGGAAAUAGAAGUGCUGAUUCUAGGAAGCCUCAUCUUACAGAUUAUGCUUAUUCUUUUUGGCAAACGCAGGCAGUGUGUGGCGAAUUUAUGGAUCAGAAUGACUCUAUGGACAUCUUACUUACUAGCAGAUUGGAUUGCUAUUGUUUCAUUAGGUAUCAUUGCUCAGAAUACGUUGGAUAAAUGCAAACAAACAAGUGAUGAUGACAAUUUCAAGGAUGAAUUGAUGUCGUUCUGGGCGCCAUUUAUGCUGCUUCAUCU
rnacentral:misc_RNA from 1 species